rnacentral:snRNA from 1 species
CACCUGCCGAAUCAACUA